rnacentral:ncRNA from 1 species
AACCAAGUCUCUAAGCAAUGGAUGUCUUGGCUCCUCACACGAUGAAGAACGUGGCAUAAUGUGUUAAGUAACCGGAGUUGCAAACAUCAUGACAGGUUAAUCUUUGAAUGCAAAUUGCGCUAAACUCGAUCUCGGUCGAGAAGCAUGGGUGUGACAGUACUACAUCUUUUAUAAUAAUUCUUAUUCUAAGCGAAUAAGUAAAUAAUAUAUAAGACAAACAACACGUAGUCUGCCAUACGCAGGAAGACCCGCUGAACUGAAGCAUCUCAUUAAGCGGAGGAAAAGAAACUAACUAGGAUUCCCUUAGUAAAGGCGAUCGAAAAGGGAACAGCCCA